GUGCCAGCCGCCGCGGUAAUACGUAGGGUGCGAGCGUUGUCCGGAAUUACUGGGCGUAAAGAGCUCGUAGGCGGUUUGUCACGUCGUCUGUGAAAUCCUCCAGCUUAACUGGGGGCGUGCAGGCGAUACGGGCAGACUUGAGUACUACAGGGGAGACUGGAAUUCCUGGUGUAGCGGUGAAAUGCGCAGAUAUCAGGAGGAACACCGGUGGCGAAGGCGGGUCUCUGGGUAGUAACUGACGCUGAGGAGCGAAAGCAUGGGUAGCGAACAGGAUUAGAUACCCUGGUAGUCCAUGCCGUAAACGGUGGGCGCUAGGUGUGGGGUCCUUCCACGGACUCCGUGCCGUAGCUAACGCAUUAAGCGCCCCGCCUGGGGAGUACGGCCGCAAGGCUAAAACUCAAAUAAAUUGACGG
rnacentral:rRNA from 1 species